GAUGAAGAACGCAGCGAAAUGCGAUACUUGGUGUGAAUUGCAGAAUCCCGUGAACCAUCGAGUCUUUGAACGCAAGUUGCGCCUCAAGCCAUUAGGUUGAGGGCACGUCUGCCUGGGCGUCACAUAUCGUUGCCUGAUGCCAGUUUCCUCGUGAUGGGUGACUGUGCAGGGCGAAUGAUGGCUUCCCGUGAGCAUUGUUGCCUCAUGGUUGGUUGAAAAUUGAGUCCUUGGUAGGGAGCGCCGUGAUAGAUGGUGGUUGAGUGACGAACGAGACCCAAUCAUGUGAGACCCCUACCGAAUUUGGCCUUCAUGACCCACAUGCGUCUUUGGAACGCUCAUGACGAGACCUCAGGUCAGGCGGUGCUACCCGCUGAGUUUAAGCAUAUCAAUAAGCGGAGGA
rnacentral:misc_RNA from 1 species